ACUUUUAGCGUGAUUGGUCAAAGGUAGCGAGAUAAUUUGUUUUUUUAUUGGAUUCUAGUAUGAAUGGAUUUUUUGUUAUUAAAUAUAUUGAUUUUAAAAAGAAUUUUAAAUUUAUUUAAAAAAUAAUAAAUAAAAUAAAACUAAGAAAAGUCUUUAGAAAUUUAUUAUUUAAUUUAAUUAGGGAAAUAAAAUAAUUAAUAUUUUUUUCUUAAUCAAAAAAAAAAAUUUCUCUAGAGUUAACAGGAAUAAAUAUUAAUUUAUUAUUUUUACAUCGAUGUUGUUUUAUUUAAUAUUAAAAAUGAGAAACUUUUGAGUGAGAGACUGUUCUUCUUUUUUUAAUACGUGAAAUUAGUUUAAUU
rnacentral:rRNA from 1 species